AAACCGUUCAGGGGUAAACCUGAGGAACCCGAAAGAUCGAAUGGGGAGAUUCAGCGUACAGCGGCGUUGGAUGGGGAGCCGAAUCACGGCAAGACCCGUCCUGCGUCGUCGUCGUGCACUUCUCCCCUAGUAGAACGUCGCGACCCGUUGGGUGCCGGUCUACGGUCCGAGCGGUAGACUGUCUCGUCGCUUUCCGGCGCACGAGACAGACCCUCGGUCGCCCGGCCGGCUGCCCGGCGGUAGAGCUAUAGGUAUCUGGCCGCAAAUUCGAACUGCGUCGGGACCGUCGCAAGCGCGGCCAGUGACCCGGAGGUACGGACCUAGCGCCGUCACCGGGCCUGGCCAGCUGUUGGCAGGCGGAGUCCUUGGACGGGCCGUAUUCGAAAGGGAUACCGGUCGGCGACGCUACUGCUUUGGGUACUCUCAGGACCCGUCUUGAAACACGGACCAAGGAGUCUAACAUGUGCGCGAGUCAUUGGGACUGUAAAAAGCCUAAAGGCGCAAUGAAAGUGAAGGUCGACCUCGCGUCGACCGAGGGAGGAUGGGUCGCGUUACGACGCGGCUCCGCACUCCCGGGGCGUCUCGUUCUCAUUGCGAGAAGAGGCGCACCCAGAGCGUACACGUUGGGACCCGAAAGAUGGUGAACUAUGCCUGGUCAGGACGAAGUCAGGGGAAACCCUGAUGGAGGUCCGUAGCGAUUCUGACGUGCAAAUCGAUCGUCGGAACUGGGUAUAGGGGCGAAAGACUAAUCGA
rnacentral:rRNA from 1 species